GAGUUUGAUCCUGGCUCAGAUUGAACGCUGGCGGCAGGCUUAACACAUGCAAGUCGAACGAUGACUCUCUAGCUUGCUAGAGAUGAUUAGUGGCGGACGGGUGAGUAACAUUUAGGAAUCUACCUAGUAGUGGGGGAUAGCUCGGGGAAACUCGAAUUAAUAGGGCAUACGACCUACGGGUGAAAGGGGGCGCAAGCUCUUGCUAUUAGAUGAGCCUAAAUCAGAUUAGCUAGUUGGUGGGGUAAAGGCCCACCAAGGCGACGAUCUGUAACUGGUCUGAGAGGAUGAUCAGUCACACCGGAACUGAGACACGGUCCGGACUCCUACGGGAGGCAGCAGUGGGGAAUAUUGGACAAUGGGGGCAACCCUGAUCCAGCCAUGCCGCGUGUGUGUUGAAGGCCUUUUGGUUGUAAAGCACUUUAAGCAGGGAGGAGAGGCUAAUGGUUAAUACCCAUUAGAUUAGACGUUACCUGCAGAAUAAGCACCGGCUAUCUCUGUGCGAGCAGGGGCGGUAAUACAGAGGGUGCGAGCGUUAAUCGGAAUUACUGGGCGUAAAGCGAGUGUAGGUGGCUCAUUAAGUCACAUGUGAAAUCCCCGGGCUUAACCUGGGUUCUGCAUGUGAUACUGGUGGUGCUAGUAUAUGUGAGACCGGAAGUAGAAUUCCAGGUGUAGCGGUGAAAUGCGUAGAGAUCUGGAGGAAUACCGAUGGCGAAGGCAGCUUCCUGGCAUAAUAUUGACACUGAGAUUCGAUAGCGUGGGUAGCAUACAGGAUUAGAUACCCUGGUACUCCACGCCGUAAACGAUGUCUACUAGCCGUUGGGGUCCUUGAGACUUUAGUGGCGCAGUUAACGCGAUUUGUAGACCGCCUGGGGAGUACGGCCGCAAGGUUAAAACUCAAAUGAAUUGACGGGGGCCCGCACAAGCGGUGGAGCAUGUGGUUUAAUUCGAUGCAACGCGAAGAACCUUACCUGGUCUUGACAUAGUGAGAAUCUUUCAGAGAUGAGAGAGUGCCUUCGGGAACUCACAUACAGGUGCUGCAUGGCUGUCGUCAGCUCGUGUCGUGAGAUGUUGGGUUAAGUCCCGCAACGAGCGCAACCCUAAUCGAUAUUUGCCAGCGGGUUAAGCCGGGAACUUU
rnacentral:rRNA from 1 species